CGACGACGACGACGAGCGGUCUCCAGAACUGACCUGAGCUAGUGUGAUCAGUCUGCCUGCCUCUGUGAUCCCCCGCAGCACUGGCUGGAAGUCCGCCGCGUGUCAGUGAGGAGCUGCUGCAGAAGGAAGAAGAAGAAGCGGCGUGGGGACCUGGGAGGCAGGAGCAAGCAAGAAGAGGAAGCGGAAGCGUGCAGAUGUGGGGGGGAAGGAGAGAGGCUCCCUGGGCAAAGCACCUGUCCCGUUAGCAGGGGCACAGUCACGUUUGAGUUGAGAGCUGCCGGCGCCUUUGGUGACCAGGCUGGCGUUGUGCUGGGCGACCUCCCCGUAAGCGGGGCUCGGGUCUUUGCUGUAGUUGGCCUUUUGCCUUGCUGCUCCUUUGGCUGCCUGGGGAGCGUGGCCCCCUGUAACGGAGGGCGAGAGCCACCUCUCCGCACCUGAGUGGGAAAUGGAGCUCGCCGGACCCCGAGGCCACCCUGUAAGCAGGGUAGUGCCGUUUCCCUGCCCCUCUUCCUCCCCCGGCCCCUCGGCAUCGUUGCCUGAUGGUGGCUUGUCAAUGCGACGGCCCCGUACUCGGGGUGUGCGUCACGGCAUUUGGCCGUUGGCUUUACCUGAGAAGCCCCUUGGCACGUUGAGGUCUGUGGCCUCCGUGCAGCCUAGGGACAGGUCACAGGCUCUUGUCUGUUGCCCGUGGUUGUGGGUUUAUUCCCAGGUGUUGGCUGUGCUGCGUUGUCCUUCCCUUCUGGAAAGUCGUGCCUGUGUGUGCGUGUUCCCCUUCCUUUCCUUGAUUGUGUUUGUGGAGUGGUUGAGCGGCUGUGCUUUCCCUUUAGGCCUCCACAAAGAUGGCUGCAGCUUAGCUUUGACUUCCCAGGGGGGAAUGGAGGACUUUGGUGCAUGCCGCAAAAGGGGUGUUCCCUCUUAGUCCUGCGAGCGCAGCGAGUGUCCUGUCUUCCUACUAUUUUCCUUAGUGCAGAUCAGAGCCACACGGUAGUUCUGUGGCCAAGGCCUCCCUGUAGCCAGGGCUUGGGCCUGUCCUUGCGUGGCCGCCUGUCCUGCUGGCGGCGGUGACAGCCCCGUACUCGGGGUGUGUGUCCCAAGCUUCGGAGCCCUCUGUCCCUGAGCAGCCCGCCCGCCCUGUAAUCAGGUGUGGGGAGGCUGCAGCGUUGCAGCCGGCUGCUUUAGCCAUCCAGCUGGUGGGAGUGACCCCUCCCUGUCCCGUCAGAGGGUGCAGGUUGAGGUGCUGUUUGUGUGUGGGGUGACCUCCCCGCUCGGUGGGUCGAGGUAGCUCCCUGGGCUUCCAAAGACGAGACGUUGGUGAUGUUCUGGUGCUGCCGGGCGGGCCAGCCUGUAACUCAGGCGUUGGCGGGAGCCUCGUGCUCCGCGGGGCUUCUUGAAGAGGGUGAGGUGUGGGGGUACCGUCCUGUAGGCAGGGCUGUGUGUGCCCCCCGUGUGUGCUUGGUGAGCUGCGUUCUGAGAGACCCCCUGUACUCAGGUGGGAAUGUGGCCCCGGCCUUUCAGAGGCGCGGGGCCGUGAGAUGCGGGGUGGGGCUUGCGCCCUCCCUGGAAUCGGGGCUGGGAUCCCGACUGCGGCCUUUGGCCGUGCCGCCCCGCUGCCUGGCUGCUGAGAGUUGCUCCUGCCGCUGGGGGGGAAACCGAGCUCUGUGGCUCCAGGGGUGUUGUCCACCCGCCUGUAAUCAGGGUCUGGGUGCGUGAGCGUUUGUGCUCUGCUGGCAGCCUGUGUGGGGUGACCGCCCCGCUAGCGGGGUGUGGGUCGAGGUGCCCCGGACUGGGAGAGAAGGAGCCUCCCUCGGCCGUAGGGAUGGGGGCUGCCCUGUAAGUCAGGGAGCAUCUGUGUCCCGGAGUCCCAGGCCCUUUUCGAUGGCGGCAGUGGCCGGGGGUCCCCUGUAAGCAGGGAAGCUGACUCUUUGGCUGCUGCUUUUUGUGUGCCCAGCCCCAUUUGCCCAGUCUGCCCGCCUCUGUGAUCCCCCGCAGCACUGGC
rnacentral:lncRNA from 1 species